rnacentral:tRNA from 1 species
GAGGGAAUAGCUCAGUAGCAGAGCAUGUGCUCGGUGUGUGUGAGGUCCUGGGUUCAAUCCCCAGUGCCUCCA